CAUGUAGGCGGAUUAAUAAGUUUGAAGUGAAAUCCUAUAGCUUAACUAUAGAACUGCUUUGAAAACUGUUAAUCUAGAAUGUGGGAGAGGUAGAUGGAAUUUCUGGUGUAGGGGUAAAAUCCGUAGAGAUUAGAAGGAAUACCGAUUGCGAAGGCGAUCUACUGGAACAUUAUUGACGCUGAGAUGCGAAAGCGUGGGGAGCAAACA
rnacentral:rRNA from 1 species